rnacentral:rRNA from 2 species
AAGUGCAAUCAUACCAGCACUAAUGCACCGGAUCCCAUCAGAACUCCGCAGCUAAGCGUGCUUGGGCGAGAGUAGUACUAGGAUGGGUGACCUCCUGGGAAGUCCUCGUGUUGCACCUC